rnacentral:rRNA from 1 species
CNGUAAACGAUGGGUACUAGGUGUAGGAGGUAUCGACCCNUUCUGUGCCGGAGUUAACGCAAUAAGUACCCCGCCUGGGGAGUACGACCGCAAGGUUGAAACUCAAAGGAAUUGACGGGGGCCCGCACAAGCGGUGGAGUAUGUGGUUUAAUUCGACGCAACGCGAAGAACCUUACCAGGUCUUGACAUUGAUGGACAGAACCAGAGAUGGUUCCUCUUCUUCGGAAGCCAGAAAACAGGUGGUGCACGGUUGUCGUCAGCUCGUGUCGUGAGAUGUUGGGUUAAGUNNNNNAACGAGCGCAACCCCUAUCUUAUGUUGCCAGCACUUUGGGUGGGGACUCAUGAGAGACUGCCGCAGACAAUGCGGAGGAAGGCGGGGAUGACGUCAAAUCAUCAUGCCCCUUAUGACCUGGGCUACACACGUACUACAAUGGGAGUUAAUAGACGGAAGCGAGAUCGCGAGAUGGAGCAAACCCGAGAAACACUCUCUCAGUUCGGAUCGUAGGCUGCAANU